rnacentral:rRNA from 1 species
AUUGAACGCUGGCGGCAUGCCUUACACAUGCAAGUCGAACGGCAGCGGACCUUCGGGUGCCGGCGAGUGGCGAACGGGUGAGUAAUAUAUCGGAACGUACCUUUCAGUGGGGGAUAACGUAGCGAAAGUUACGCUAAUACCGCAUAUUCUGUGAGCAGGAAAGCAGGGGAUCGCAAGACCUUGCGCUGAUUGAGCGGCCGAUAUCAGAUUAGCUAGUUGGUGAGGUAAAGGCUCACCAAGGCGACGAUCUGUAGCGGGUCUGAGAGGAUGAUCCGCCACACUGGAACUGAGACACGAUCCAGACUCCUACGGGAGGCAGCAGUGGGGAAUUUUGGACAAUGGGCGCAAGCCUGAUCCAGCCAUGCCGCGUGAGUGAAGAAGGCCUCGG